UACGGGGGGGGCAAGCGUUGUUCGGAAUUACUGGGCGUAAAGGGCUCGUAGGCGGCCAACUAAGUCAGACGUGAAAUCCCUCGGCUUAACCGGGGAACUGCGUCUGAUACUGGAUGGCUUGAAUCCGGGAGAGGGAUGCGGAAUUCCAGGUGUAGCGGUGAAAUGCGUAGAUAUUUGGAAGAACACCGGUGGCGAAGGCGGCGACCUGGUCCUUGACUGACGCUGAGGCGCGAAAGCGUGGGGAGCAAACAGG
rnacentral:rRNA from 1 species